rnacentral:tRNA from 1 species
GAGGGUAUAGCUCAGAGGUAAAGUACAUGUCUAGCACACACAGGGUCCUGGGUUCAAUCCUCAGUACCUCCA